GAUACCUCCGAUUGAGCUGUCUGGUCGUCUUCGUCGUCUUCGCUUCGCGUUCUCCAUGCAUGAUGAUGGUGAUGUGUGUGUGGGCGGCGGCAGAGCCCGUGUCCUCGUCGGUACACGCGCCGCGUGUAGCGUAGCCUUUGCGGUGGCCACGCUCGCCCUUGCCGUCGUGCCUCGUCGGUCUUGGCGGCGUUGGAGGAGUUGUUGUUGGGGUAGCAUGGAUCACGCUCGGCUCGGACUUCUCGACGACCAGUAGCUUCUCGGGGUGUACAAGGGUCUACACCCUGCGGGAGUAAUUGUCGAUGGAGACCGGCGUCGGUGUAUGACCGUCGCGUUGCUCGCGCCAGCAUGGCCUGAGUGGUCGACACCUCGUCCCGGUCAGACGCCGAGUCCACGGCAGUCAGUGUAGUCAAGGCAUCGUCUCACGAGAUCGUAGAG
rnacentral:rRNA from 1 species